UGGAGAUGAAACACUGGCAUGAGGGUCUUGAAGAAGUGACUCAUUUCAGUGCUAGGAUAUUCAGCUGAAUUCAACAAGUGUUGCCUGAGCACAGGCUCCAGGUAAACGUUUGCUUAAUUAAGGCCUUCUGUAGCACUGAUACUGCUGAUCUCUGGCAUGAAGCGCAAGACUUGCAAUUCAAUGACAACAAACAGGUCUACAAGGAGAGCACAACUUCCCAUUUAAAACCAACAAACAAGAAGCUUUGAAAACAAGAUAAAUGGAAGUGUCAAUAAUGAAUAUGCAUGAAGGUCUUUCUCCUGUAGUCAUUGGUUAGGCGAUUCUGGCAGUAUUUUGUAGGGCACAUUAUUCUGCUUUGGAACUUCGCCUGGAAGGAGAACUAAGCAAGAUGAGAAACUGAACGUAUCUGUGACUCUGCAAGCAGUCCCUGACGCUGUGGUGGGAUCCAGGCCUGGACGCUGUGGAUAAGGGCUGCUGUGGCCAAAAUAAUUAUUGAUAACAGAAUUUUUGAAUCAAGAGAACUACUCUAUCCAAUGAGCUAAGGCGAGAAAACCUGGCAGCAAGUACAAUGUCCUACUGUGAUUAUUUCAGGAAACCAGCAACAUGGGGACAGAUAAAAGUAAGAAGCAGGUUACCUUCGCUCUCUGGUUUUGGAACCACACCUGGACGACACGGACACUCAGCCCUGUCUCUGCAGCCAGAGUCUCUCUCACCUUGGAAAAAUUGAACGAGAAAUGUAGACACACUGGCAUCUCAGGGUAGGAGGUAGAACAUCUCCUAUAUAAUACUUGAGGAGGCCAAAAGACUGUAUCUGCUUUAGGAGCUGAAUAGUUUUUAAUGUUGAGCAUACACACAAACACGAGAACAUUGCUUCCCUUCAGGUAGAAAGAAAGUCCUUCACCAGGUAACUUUGGGUGUUUCAUGAAUAUCCAUAGUGACUGCUACCCCAAGUGAGCCCUGCCCAAAGAGAAUAAAAUGAGAGCCAUCUGGAACCCGGCAGAGCCAGGAAGUGUGGCCACAGGACUACAUUCUGGCCAACACAUAUGAGGAGAAAUGAUUUGAGCAACCCCUGGAUACAUCCUUAAAAA